rnacentral:rRNA from 1 species
ACAGCAGCAGCCACGGUAAUACGAAGGGGGCUAGCGUUGUUCGGAUUUACUGGGCGUAAAGCGCACGUAGGCGGAUCAUUAAGUCAGGGGUGAAAUCCCGAGGCUCAACCUCGGAACUGCCUUUGAUACUGGUGAUCUUGAGUCCGGGAGAGGUGAGUGGAACUGCGAGUGUAGAGGUGAAAUUCGUAGAUAUUCGCAAGAACACCAGUGGCGAAGGCGGCUCACUGGCCCGGAACUGACGCUGAGGUGCGAAAGCGUGGGGAGCAAACAGGAUUAGAUACCCCUGUAGUCCCUGUCUCUUAUAC